UACGUAGGAGACGAGCGUUGUCCGGAAUUACUGGGCGUAAAGCGCGUGUAGGCGGAUGGGCAAGUCUGCUGUGAAAGCUCCUGGCUUAACCGGGAGUGGUCGGUGGAAACUGCCAAUCUGGAGGACGGUAGAGGUAGGUAGAAUUCCCGGUGUAGUGGUGAAAUGCGUAGAGAUCGGGAGGAAUACCUGUGGCGAAGGCGGCCUACUGGGCCGGACCUGACGCUGAGGCACGAAGGUCAGGGGAGCAAACAGG
rnacentral:rRNA from 1 species